AGCGAACGCUGGCGGCAGGCCUAACACAUGCAAGUCGAACGGGCACCUUCGGGUGUCAGUGGCAGACGGGUGAGUAACACGUGGGAACGUGCCCUUUGGUUCGGAACAACUCCGGGAAACUGGAGCUAAUACCGGAUAAGCCCUUCGGGGGAAAGAUUUAUCGCCAAAGGAUCGGCCCGCGCCUGAUUAGCUUGUUGGUGGGGUAGUGGCCCACCAAGGCGACGAUCAGUAGCUGGUCUGAGAGGAUGAUCAGCCACACUGGGACUGAGACACGGCCCAGACUCCUACGGGAGGCAGCAGUGGGGAAUAUUGGACAAUGGGCGAAAGCCUGAUCCAGCCAUGCCGCGUGAGUGAUGAAGGCCCUAGGGUUGUAAAGCUCUUUCGGCGGGGACGAUAAUGACGGUACCCGCAGAAGAAGCCCCGGCUAACUUCGUGCCAGCCGCCGCGGUAAGAC
rnacentral:rRNA from 1 species